UCCCUGGUGGUCUAGUGGUUAAGACUGAGCUUCCACUUCAAAGGAUGCAGGUUUGAUCCCUGGCUGGGGAG
rnacentral:tRNA from 1 species